rnacentral:rRNA from 1 species
UAGAGUUUGAUCCUGGCUCAGAUUGAACGCUAGCGGGAUGCCUUACACAUGCAAGUCGAACGGCAGCACGGACUUCGGUCUGGUGGCGAGUGGCGAACGGGUGAGUAAUGUAUCGGAACGUGCCCAGUAGCGGGGGAUAACUACGCGAAAGCGUAGCUAAUACCGCAUACGCCCUACGGGGGAAAGCAGGGGAUCGCAAGACCUUGCACUAUUGGAGCGGCCGAUAUCGGAUUAGCUAGUUGGUGGGGUAACGGUUCACCAAGGCGACGAUCCGUAGCUGGUUUGAGAGGACGACCAGCCACACUGGGACUGAGACACGGCCCAGACUCCUACGGGAGGCCGCAGUGGGGAAUUUUGGA